rnacentral:rRNA from 1 species
AUUGAACGCUGGCGGCAGGCCUAACACAUGCAAGUCGAACGGUAACAGGAAGCAGCUUGCUGCUUUGCUGACGAGUGGCGGACGGGUGAGUAAUGUCUGGGAAACUGCCUGAUGGAGGGGGAUAACUACUGGAAACGGUAGCUAAUACCGCAUAAUGUCGCAAGACCAAAGAGGGGGACCUUCGGGCCUCUUGCCAUCGGAUGUGCCCAGAUGGGAUUAGCUAGUAGGUGGGGUAAAGGCUCACCUAGGCGACGAUCCCUAGCUGGUCUGAGAGGAUGACCAGCCACACUGGAACUGAGACACGGUCCAGACUCCUACGGGAGGCAGCAGUGGGGAAUAUCGCACAAUGGGCGCAAGCCUGAUGCAGCCAUGCCGCGUGUAUGAAGAAGGCCUUCGGGUUGUAAAGUACUUUCAGCGGGGAGGAAGGGAGUAAAGUUAAUACCUUUGCUCAUUGACGUUACCCGCAGAAGAAGCACCGGCUAACUCCGUGCCAGCAGCCGCGGUAAUACGGAGGGUGCAAGCGUUAAUCGGAAUUACUGGGCGUAAAGCGCACGCAGGCGGUUUGUUAAGUCAGAUGUGAAAUCCCCGGGCUCAACCUGGGAACUGCAUCUGAUACUGGCAAGCUUGAGUCUCGUAGAGGGGGGUAGAAUUCCAGGUGUAGCGGUGAAAUGCGUAGAGAUCUGGAGGAAUACCGGUGGCGAAGGCGGCCCCCUGGACGAAGACUGACGCUCAGGUGCGAAAGCGUGGGGAGCAAACAGGAUUAGAUACCCUGGUAGUCCACGCCGUAAACGAUGUCGACUUGGAGGUUGUGCCCUUGAGGCGUGGCUUCCGGAGCUAACGCGUUAAGUCGACCGCCUGGGGAGUACGGCCGCAAGGUUAAAACUCAAAUGAAUUGACGGGGGCCCGCACAAGCGGUGGAGCAUGUGGUUUAAUUCGAUGCAACGCGAAGAACCUUACCUGGUCUUGACAUCCACGGAAGUUUUCAGAGAUGAGAAUGUGCCUUCGGGAACCGUGAGACAGGUGCUGCAUGGCUGUCGUCAGCUCGUGUUGUGAAAUGUUGGGUUAAGUCCCGCAACGAGCGCAACCCUUAUCCUUUGUUGCCAGCGGUCCGGCCGGGAACUCAAAGGAGACUGCCAGUGAUAAACUGGAGGAAGGUGGGGAUGACGUCAAGUCAUCAUGGCCCUUACGGCCAGGGCUACACACGUGCUACAAUGGCGCAUACAAAGAGAAGCGACCUCGCGAGAGCAAGCGGACCUCAUAAAGUGCGUCGUAGUCCGGAUUGGAGUCUGCAACUCGACUCCAUGAAGUCGGAAUCGCUAGUAAUCGUGGAUCAGAAUGCCACGGUGAAUACGUUCCCGGGCCU